rnacentral:rRNA from 1 species
GACGAACGCUGGCGGCGUGCCUAAUACAUGCAAGUAGAACGCACAGUUUAUACCGUAGCUUGCUACACCAUAGACUGUGAGUUGCGAACGGGUGAGUAACGCGUAGGUAACCUGCCUGGUAGCGGGGGAUAACUAUUGGAAACGAUAGCUAAUACCGCAUAAUAUUAAUUAUUGCAUGAUAAUUAAUUGAAAGGUGCAAUUGCACCACUACCAGAUGGACCUGCGUUGUAUUAGCUAGUAGGUGAGGUAACGGCUCACCUAGGCGACGAUACAUAGCCGACCUGAGAGGGUGAUCGGCCACACUGGGACUGAGACACGGCCCAGACUCCUACGGGAGGCAGCAGUAGGGAAUCUUCGGCGAUGGACGAAAGUCUGACCGAGCAACGCCGCGUGAGUGAAGAAGGUUUUCGGAUCGUAAAGCUCUGUUGUAAGAGAAGAACGGGUGUGAGAGUGGAAAGUUCACACUGUGACGGUAUCUUACCAGAAAGGGACGGCUAACUACGUG